rnacentral:tRNA from 1 species
GGGGUUGUGGCUCAGUGGUAGAGCGCUAGUCUAGCAUGCAUGAAACACUGGGUUCAAUCCCCAGCACCA